rnacentral:rRNA from 1 species
UGGCGGACGGGUGAGUAAUGUCUGGGAAACUGCCUGAUGGAGGGGGAUAACUACUGGAAACGGUAGCUAAUACCGCAUAACGUAGCAAGACCAAAGAGGGGGACCUUCGGGCCUCUUGCCAUCGGAUGUGCCCAGAUGGGAUUAGCUAGUAGGUGGGGUAACGGCUCACCUAGGCGACGAUCCCUAGCUGGUCUGAGAGGAUGACCAGCCACACUGGAACUGAGACACGGUCCAG